GAGACAUCCCUUCCUAAUGGUUAAACUCGUGGUCCCCAAGGUCAAUGUGAGUGUUUACACAGAGUUACCAGUGACCUCUGAGUGGUCUCAGCCUCGCUGACCGUAGGCAGUGUCACCAUCAYGGCUGCUAGUUCACAGCAAGCACAAAAACUGCUCUGAAGUUCAUGAUCAAGGGCGAAGCCUCCUUGCAAGUGCUAUCCCCAUCAGUAUGAUGAUAAGAAUAUUUUUAUGCAUGCCAAACAAUGCAAUCUAAAAUAAAACAUAAUUACUUGGUGUAGUAGUCGGGGUUGAUUUCUCUUAUAAUUUUGUGAUGAAAUGAGGACUGUUUUUGUUUCAAAGUUGAUAGUCAUCCCAGCUGAACCACUUUUGACUGCAACUGGAGUGUAACUGAUGCAGUUUGAGAUCUGAUUGAGUUUGCAAAGAACUGAACAUCUCUGGGAGUUAAUUACUGAUCUCAUAGGGAUCUUGACCUUGAUGUCUGACUGGUAUCACCUUACCAGGGUAUAUUACACACACAGACACAAAAUGCUGUAGUUGGUGUCCGGGCCUCUUGUAGCCUCCCAUAUGCUGAUA